rnacentral:misc_RNA from 1 species
UCACGGUUUGCACCGGCAGUCUUGUUAGAGUUCCCGGCAUGACCCGCUGGCAACUAACAAUAGGGGUUGCGCUCGUUAUAGGACUUAACCUGACACCUCACGGCACGAGCUGACGACAACCAUGCAGCACCUUGAAAGACGUCCGAAGAAAAUCUGGUUUCCCAAACUGUCGUCUCCCAUUUAAGCCCUGGUAAGGUUCCUCGCGUAUCAUCGAAUUAAACCACAUGCUCCUCCGCUUGUGCGGGCCCCCGUCAAUUCCUUUGAGUUUCAUUCUUGCGAACGUACUCCCCAGGUGGGAUACUUAUCACUUUCGCUUAGCCACUCAGAUUGCUCCGAACAGCUAGUAUCCAUCGUUUACGGCGUGGACUAC